rnacentral:rRNA from 1 species
UCUCCUGGAAACGGGUGGUAAUGCCGGAUGUUCCACAUGAGCGCAUGCGAGUGUGGGAAAGGCUUUUUGCGGCAUGGGAUGGGGUCGCGUCCUAUCAGCUUGUUGGUGGGGUAACGGCCUACCAAGGCGUUGACGGGUAGCCGGCCUGAGAGGGCGACCGGCCACAUUGGGACUGAGAUACGGCCCAGACUCCUACGGGAGGCAGCAGUGGGGAAUAUUGCACAAUGGGCGCAAGCCUGAUGCAGCGACGCCGCGUGCGGGAUGGAGGCCUUCGGGUUGUAAACCGCUUUUGUUCAAGGGCAAGGCACGGUUUCGGCCGUGUUGAGUGGAUUGUUCGAAUAAGCACCGGCUAACUACGUGCCAGCAGCCGCGGUAAUACGUAGGGUGCAAGCGUUAUCCGGAUUUAUUGGGCGUAAAGGGCUCGUAGGCGGUUCGUCGCGUCCGGUGUGAAAGUCCAUCGCUUAACGGUGGAUCCGCGCCGGGUACGGGCGGGCUUGAGUGCGGUAGGGGAGACUGGAAUUCCCGGUGUAACGGUGGAAUGUGUAGAUAUCGGGAAGAACACCA